AUGGAGGAUAAACUGUUUAUUGAAAAGCUGAGUGGGCCAGAGAACUGGGCAACGUGGAAAUUUCAAAUGGAACAUUUGAUGAAAGCUAAAGGACUAUGGGGCAUGGUGAUGGAGACUGACAACGUGGCAGAAGGAGCAAAUGCACAGGCAAGAGCAGAAUUUGAAAAACGGAAAGAAAAAGCAUUUUCUGUGUUGGUGCUGAAUGUGAGUACGUCUCAGUUGUACCUGAUAACAAGCUGUAAGACCCCUAAGGAAGCGUGGGACACGCUAAAAGGACAUUUUGAGAGAGACACUCUUGCAAACAAGCUGUUUCUGAAGAAAAAAUACUUCAGAUGUGAAAUGAAGGAAGGAGAAAACAUAACUGAACAUUUGAAACGAAUGAAGGAGCUAACUGACCAGCUAGGGGCAAUAGGUGCGGUGAUUGAAGAGGAGGACCAGAUUGUAACACUGCUGGGUAGCUUGCCAGCAAGCUAUGCUACAAUUGUUACUGCACUGGAAACUAAGUUGGACAGUUUAACACUGCAGUUUGUUCAGCAAGCAUUAAUAAAUGAAGAACAAAAACGAGUGUCUGCUGAUGGUAACUAUGGCGGUGCUAUGUCCAGUGGUGCUGCGUCUGGAGGCGCAUCAGCAAUGUCAACACAAGUUCGUAGUGAUAUGCAGGCUAACUCCAAGGCAGUGAGAGCUGACAGAUCCGGCUCGUGGAGAUGUUACAAGUGUGGGAAAGAAGGACAUAUCAAGCGUGACUGUCCAAGUAAGAAAAAAAAACAGACUAAAACUCACAAAGCCAAAAAUGUAACAUGUGAACAUGAUGAAGACUCGUCUGAGAGUGCCUUCGUCGCCAGAGAGGCAAAUCAGGAUAAGAUGACACAACAGGUAGAGUGGUUGAUCGACUCUGGAGCUUCAAAGCACAUGACGUGUCAUGAAGAAAUUCUUCAAGACUACCAGAAAUUUCCAAAAACACAGUCUGUGAAACUUGGUGAUGGCAGAGUGGUUGACGCUCUAGGACUUGGUAAUGUUAAACUGAGAAUGGCAUUAAAAAUCAGUGAUGUAAAAAAUGUCACAAUGUUUGAUGUGCUGUAUGUUCCCAAGUUAUCCGGGAAUCUCUUCUCAGUGGGAGCUGCUGUAAAAAAAGGAAAUACGGUGCAGUUCAAGAAGUCUCGCUGUUACAUCCGUGAUAAAAAUGGAAAUCUCAGAGGAAUGGGAACACAAAGAUCUGAUGGAUUGUAUCAGCUGGAUGUUGAGGGAAGUUCGCCCACCUGUCACUGUGCAUCAAGUGCAUUAGUAGCAACCAGCUUGUGGCAUCAGCGACUGGGUCACACCACUAAGUUGAAGGAACUUAAAAAACUGGUGAAUGGAGUGGACUAUCCUGCAGAGAAAGAAGUUCCAUUCUGUGAAGCAUGUGUGGAAGGCAAGCUGUCUAGAAAGCCACAUAAGCCAGUGGGAGAAAUCCGUUCCAAACGUAAACUACAGUUGGUUCAUAGUGACGUCUGCGGCCCCAUGCAGACUGAAUCUAUAGGUGGAUCAAAGUACUUUGUGACUUUUAUUGAUGACUAUUCUAGAUGUUGCAAGGUGUACUUUAUGAAACAGAAGAGUGAAGUUCUUUGCAAAUUCAAGGAAUUUGAGAAAAUAUUAUCCAAUGAGUGCGGACAGAAAAUAGCAAGACUCAGAACGGAUAAUGGUGGGGAAUACACAUCCAAAGAAUUUCAAGAAUACUUGAAGGCUCAAGGUAUCCACCAUGAGACAACUGUACCUCACACACCUCAGCAAAAUGGUGUUGCAGAAAGAAAAAAUAGGACAUUAAUUGAAGCAGCGAGAACCAUGCUCUCUCACGCUAAAUUAACAAAGUCUUACUGGGCAGAGGCUGUAGCAACCGCAGCUUACAUACAGAACAGACUCCCCACAUCUGUUCUGAAACAAGUGACGCCCUACCAGAAAUGGUGCGACAAACAGCCAAAUGUGAGUCACAUGAAAGUGUUUGGUUGCGUAGCUUAUGCACAUGUCCCAGACAUUGAAAGAAGAAAACUGGACAAAAAGGCUGUGAAGCUUCGUUUCGUGGGAUAUGCCAACAAUGCCAAGGGCUAUCGCUUGUUUGACGAAGAAAAAAGAAGGAGUCUAAUUCGUCGGGAUGUGAUCUUCAACGAGUCAGACUUUGACUUGAAACAAGAAGUGGAUAUUUCUUGUUCGGAGAAUGAAGUUAUCAUGAAAACUGACGAGAGAACCCCAGUCGAUGCUACUGUCGAUGAAACUGCUAGAGAAGGUGGCAGAAUCAGAAAACCACCUAAGAGAUAUGGCUAUGAUGAGUUUGCCGACCUGGUGACUGUUGAUCAUUAUGCUACUGUUUGUUGUGUUGCAGAACCAAGCACACUGAAAGAGGCAAUGAUGAGUCCAAAUGCAAAGGAAUGGCAGGAGGCUGCUGACUUGGAAUAUGAAUCACUGCUGGAAAAUAAGACAUGGGAUUUAGUGAAACUACCAAAGGAUCGGAAAGCCAUAGGAUCAAGAUGGGUGUUUAAAGUCAAGCAUCAUAGUGACGGACGAGUGGAGAGAUACAAGUGCAGACUUGUGGCUAAGGGUUACUCACAGAAGUAUGGUGCUGACUACGAUGAAACUUUUUCACCCGUGGUACGUUUUAGCUCAAUACGUACGUUGCUGUCCUUUGCAAUCCAGAAUAACAUGCAUGUGCAUCAGAUGGAUGUGGUAACCGCAUUUCUAAAUGGACACCUGGAUGAGGAAAUCUAUAUGGAGCAACCAGAGGGAUACAUCAGACCAGGAGAAGAAAGUUUGGUGUGCAAGCUGAAGAAGUCAAUAUAUGGACUGAAGCAGUCCCCUCGCUGCUGGAGCAAAACUUUCACAGAGUUCAUGAAGAACAUUGGAUUCAAACAGAGUACAUCAGACCCAUGUGUGUUCGUGAGAUCUCGACAGGAGCUGGAGAUAUUAGCUGUGUAUGUUGAUGAUCUAAUUCUGAUCACAGAGUCGAUGGAAAGCAUGGAAGAGCUGAAACUUGCUCUUAAGAAGCGCUACAAGAUGAAGGACAUGAGAGAACUGUCCUACAUCUUGGGAAUCUCUGUCAUCCAAGACAAAGACAAAAACUGUGUGUUUCUUCAUCAGAAGCAUUACAUUGAAGCCGUUCUUCAGAAGUAUGGUAUGCAUGAUGCAAACCCUGUUGCAACUCCAGCUGAUGCAAAUGUAAAGCUAAAAAGGGACGAUGGUGUCAGCAAGCCUGUGAACCCAAGUACUUACCAGUCUAUGGUUGGUAGUCUACUGUAUGCUGCGAUGGCCACACGGCCGGACAUAGCACAAGCUGUGAGCGUUGUGUCAAAGUUCAAUGCAAAUCCAAAUGUUUCACAUCUGACUGCAGUGAAGAGAGUUCUACGGUACUUGAAGGGUACACUGAAUCUCGCUCUCAAGUAUGAGCGGUCAGAGUCUGGAACUUUGGUCGGUUUCUCAGAUGCUGACUGGGCAGGAGACCAGGACGAUCGUCGCUCUACAACCGGAAAUGUGUUCUUACUGGGUGGAGGAGCGGUGAGUUGGCUCAGCAAGAAACAGUCAACUGUUGCUCUUUCAACAGCGGAGGCUGAGUAUGUUGCACUUAGCCAAGCAGCUCAGGAAUGUACCUGGCUUAGACGACUACUGAGUGAUCUUGGAAUGGAUGCUACUCCUGUGGUCAUCCUGGAGGACAACCAAGGAGCCAUUGCAAUCGCAAAGAAUCCAGUUGAUCAUUCAAGAACCAAGCACAUUGACAUUCGCUACCAUUACAUUCGUGAAUGUGUGCAGAAUGGACAAAUACAACUGCAAUAUUGUCCCACAGAUGACAUGAAGGCUGACAUCUUGACCAAGCCAUUGGUGAGGCAGAAGUUUGAGUAUCUUAGGAGUGAGAUUGGACUUUGUUUCAUUUAA
ensembl:lncRNA